UACGUAGGGUGCGAGCGUUGUCCGGAAUUACUGGGCGUAAAGAGCUCGUAGGCGGUCUGUUGCGUCGGCUGUGAAAACCCGGGGCUCAACUCCGGGCCUGCAGCCGAUACGGGCAGACUAGAGUUCGGCAGGGGAGACUGGAAUUCCUGGUGUAGCGGUGAAAUGCGCAGAUAUCAGGAGGAACACCGGUGGCGAAGGCGGGUCUCUGGGCCGAUAUUGACGCUGAGGAGCGAAAGCGUGGGGAGCGAACAGG
rnacentral:rRNA from 1 species